rnacentral:rRNA from 1 species
GACGAACGCUGGCGGCGUGCUUAACACAUGCAAGUCGAACGAUGAGGCCCAGCUUGCUGGGUGGAUUAGUGGCGAACGGGUGAGUAACACGUGGGCAACCUGCCCCAAACUCUGGGAUAACUCCUCGAAAGAGGUGCUAAUACCGGAUACGAACUAGGUAGACAUCUGCACUAGUUGGAAAGUUUUUCGGUUUGGGAUGGGCCCGCGGCCUAUCAGCUUGUUGGUGAGGUAACGGCUCACCAAGGCUACGACGGGUAACCGGCCUGAGAGGGCGACCGGUCACACUGGGACUGAGACACGGCCCAGACUCCUACGGGAGGCAGCAGUGGGGAAUAUUGCGCAAUGGGCGAAAGCCUGACGCAGCGACGCCGCGUGAGGGAUGAAGGUCUUCGGAUCGUAAACCUCUUUCAGUAGGGACGAAGCGAAAGUGACGGUACCUAAAGAAGAAGCACCGGCUAACUACGUGCCAGCAGCCGCCGUAA